ACUCCUACGGGAGGCAGCAGUGGGGAAUUUUGCGCAAUGGGGGAAACCCUGACGCAGCAACGCCGCGUGAGUGAUGAAGGCCCUUGGGUCGUAAAGCUCUGUCAGUGGGGAAGAAGUGAUAGUGUGCUAAUACCACAUUAUCUUGACGGUACCCACAAAGGAAGCACCGGCUAACUCCGUGCCAGCAGCCGCGGUAAUACGGAGGGUGCAAGCGUUGUUCGGAAUUAUUGGGCGUAAAGGGCGUGUAGGCGGCCUCGUAAGUCUGAUGUGAAAGCCCCGGGCUCAACCUGGGAAGUGCAUUGGAAACUGCGAGACUUGAGUACGGGAGAGGGCAGUGGAAUUCCUAGUGUAGGAGUGAAAUCCGUAGAUAUUAGGAGGAACACCGGUGGCGAAGGCGGCUGCCUGGACCGAUACUGACGCUGAGACGCGAAAGCGUGGGGAGCAAACAGGAUUAGAUACCCUGGUAGUCCACGCCGUAAACGAUGAGUACUAGGUGUUGCGGGUAUUGACCCCUGCAGUGCCGCAGCUAACGCAUUAAGUACUCCGCCUGGGAAGUACGGUCGCAAGACUAAAACUCAAAGGAAUUGACGG
rnacentral:rRNA from 1 species